rnacentral:rRNA from 1 species
GUCAACCGCAAGGGUAUGGCGUUUCUCACAAUGCUUGUCUCAUGGGAACUUUGGAUUGAGCGCAACGCGAGGGUCUUGAACAACAGAUUCAUGACUUUGGGGUUCAUCUUCUAUAAAAUCCGCGAGGAAGCUCUUACUUGGGUUAAGGCGGGAGCCAAGCAUUUGAGUAAAUUAGUGCCGGGAUAG